UAACACAUGCGAGUCGAACGCAGUCCUUCGGGCCGAGCGGUCGACGGGUGAGUAACACGUGGGAACGUGCCGUCCGGUGGCGAACAACGGCGGGAAACUUGAGCUAAUACCGGAUACGCCUGUCGCGGGAGAGAUGCAUCACCAUUAGAGCGGCCCGCGUAGGGCUAGCUAGUUGGUGGGGCUAAGGCCCACCAAGGCUACAUCCUUAGCUGCACUGAGAACAUGAUCAGCCACAUUGGGACUGAGACACGGCCCAAACUCCUACGGGAGGCAGCAGUGGGGAAUCUUGCGCAAUGGGCGAAAGCCUGACGCAGCCAUGCCGCGUGAAUGAUGAAGGUCUCGGGAUUGUAAAAUUCUACCACCGGGGACGAUAAUGACGGUACCCGGAGCCAAUGCCCCGGCUAACUUCGUGCCAGCAGCCGCGGUAAUACGAAUCCGCCUAGCGUUGCUCGGAAUUACUGGGCGUAAAGGGAGCGUAGGCGGAUAGCAUAGUCAGAGGUGAAAGCCCAGGGCUCAACCUUGGAAUUGCCUGUGAUACUGGCUAUCUUGAGUACGGACUGCGUAUGUGGAACUCCGAGUGUAGAGGUGAAAUUCGUAGAUAUUCGGACUGGCACCAGUGGCGAAGGCGACAUACUGGUCCGUUACUGACGCUGAGGCUCGAAAGCGUGGGGAGCAUACAGGAUUAGAUACCCUGGUAGUCCACGCUGUAACCGAUGAGUGCUAGUUGUCGGCAGGCAUGCCUGUCGGUGACGCAGCUAACGCAUGCAGCACUCCGCCUGGGGAGUACGGUCGCAAGAUUAUGACUCAAAGGAAUUGACGCCUUCCCGCACAAGCGGUGGAGCAUGUGGUUUAAUUCGAAGCAACGCGCAGAACCUUACCACCUGCUGACAUGCCCGGACCGCCGCAGAGAUGCGGCUAUCCCUUCGGGGACUGGGACACAGGUGCUGCAUGGCUGUCGUCAGCUCGUGUCGUGAGAUGUUGCGUUAAGUCCCGCAACGAGCGCAACCCUCGCUAUUAGUUGCCAUCAGGCGUGGCUGGGCACUCUAAUAGGACCGCCGGUGGUAAGCCGGAGGAAGGUGGGGAUGACGUCAAGUCCUCAUGGCCCUUACAAGGUGGGCUACACACGUGCUACAAUGGCGACUACAGAGGGCUGCAAUCCCGCGAGGGGGAGCCAAUCCCUACUAGUCGUCUCAGUUCGGAUUGCACUCUGCAACUCGAGUGCAUGAAGUUGGAAUCGCUAGUAAUCGCGGAUCAGCAUGCCGCGGUGAAUACGUUCCCGGGCCUUGUACACACCGCCCGUCACACCAUGGGAGUUGGCUUUACCCGAAGGCGCUGCGCUAACUCGCAAGAGAGGCAGGCGACCACGGUAGGGUCAGCGACUG
rnacentral:rRNA from 1 species